rnacentral:ncRNA from 1 species
GGUACACCUAGUGUUCAAUAGGGAAUCGUGUGAAAAUCACGAGCUGACGCGCAACUGUAAGUGUCGCAGUGGAGAUGUCAAAAUGCCAUUGGCCGCCGGAAUAGGUGGCUGAGAAGGCGAUAUCAAGGACAUAAGCCAGGAGACCUGCCUAUACAA